rnacentral:lncRNA from 1 species
CGUGUUUGUGAUGCUGACACUUUAAGGCCAACCCUGACAACAAACUAGAGGGAAGAAGCGGUCUCUGUGAGGGGGUCCCUUCAUUCCAGUCCAGGACAUCACAAUCCCUGUGAUGUCUUCAGAAUUACCCGAAGAUAUACACGAUCCUGGAUUCGUAUUAAAUUAGAGCCUUGGGUUUAUAGCUGGAAAUCAGCAUUUCUAACAGUUUGCCAAGUGGUUUUGUUCUCACGUAGGCAUAAAAACCACUGCUCCAGGUGCAAGGUUUGGUUUCACCCCAGCUUCUGGUGAAUGAUCGAAACUUGUGUUUCUCAAACUUUUUUUUUGCUGGUACUCCCCACAGAUGACAUUGUCAUACACAUCCUCUCAGACCUCUUUGAUGCUGAGACAGAAAACAGGCAAUGUCUACGGGGAGAUCAGGCCCUGGUGGCCACAGAAAGCCCGCAGGCAAAAACUUAAAGGUGAGAGAGAGAAGACAAGGCAGAAAGAGCUACGAUAAAGCCACAGCAGCAAAACCUGUGGGUGUUUGCUGUGUCUCAGACCCUUUCCGAAGUGCUUGUCAGGUAGGUACUCGGUGAAUCUCACCGGAGCACUGUGAGGUAGGUCGUAUUAUUAUUAAGCCCAUUUUCCGGAUGAAAACACUGAGGCUCACAGGGAUGGCUAUUUUGCCAAAGCAACAUGGUUUAGAAAAAGGGGGAAGCUGGUUCAGAGCCCAGGCUUUUGCCUGGAGUCUUUGCUCUUGACCCAGCAUGACAGCAUUUUCAGCUAGAGGUGCUGGAACUCUCGAAUGUAGUUUCCUGGUUGUAAACGUGGCCUCUUGAUGAAGUACGCCUCCCAUAGAGUCAGCACCUGUUUGACUCUGCUGACAGGCAAUUGGGGCUCAUUUUUCUAGCACUUUCUUCUAGUGACAAUGUGCUCGUGCACGUUGAGAUUUCUUCCCUGAGCUCCUUCUCACUGGGAAGGUCCCUGUGGACAUGUGACCCUCUUGUGGGUGUAAGUUGAUGGCUGUCUGGCUCUCUUAAGAAUGUGAAAAGGUGGGGCACCUGGGUGGCUCAGUUGGUUAAGUGUCUGUCUUGGGCUCAGGUCACGAUCUCAGGCUCCUGGGAUCGAGACCCAAUGCUCAGAGUCUCCUUCUCCCUCUACCCCUCCCCACCUCCCUGGCUCGUGCUCUCUUUCUCACUCUCUCUCUCAAAUAAAUAAAAUCUAAAAAAAAAAAAAAAAAAAGAA